UGUAGAUUUUCAUCUGGAAACAGAGGGGAAAAUGGAGGAUGAUUCCAUUCGUCUCUCCUUUCAAGACAGAAUUCUGCAUCACUCCUAAGAGGGCUUCCUCAUUCAAGAAAAAGAAGUUGAAAUGGCAUAAUGGAUGAAUGGAACCACCACUAAAAAGCCAGAUUACGUGGCUAGAUGUGUGACCCACAGUGGACUUGAGAUGAGCUCACUGCUCUGCUGUACGGUGCUUACUUGCUGACUGCACGUGCUCCUCCAGAGGCGGCUCAUCUGCUCCCUGCACUGAAGCAUAGCCAGAUGAUGCGGUCUCGCUGCGAUUGUCCUCUUCGUGGGGAGAAGCAGUAUUAGAUGCAUCAUUGGAAACAGGAACUUGUAAAGACACUGAUCCAUCUUCAACAUCCACCUGUGGUAAGCAUUCAAACAAAAGACUUUCAGAGUACAUGCAUUACACUGACAUAUGGUUAUGAUGUUUUUCAGUGGUGAUAACUGAAAAUAACAGAGUAAUAUUUCUUAACCUUAUAAACCUCUACCCCAUUUUCAUGUCACAAAAAUCUCUUACUGGCCCCAGUCACGGUAGUGGGAGUAGUAAUUGGCUAUACCAAUGGAGUACAUAUGUCUUCAUCUGGCUGAUCUCUUCACCUCAGACAUAAUGGUGGGAACAAGGUAUAUUCAGUAUACAUUAAUAUAUAUUAUUCUGUCCCAAAAGAGAACUGAAAAUUGCUCUCAUCUCAUAUUUCUGUUCCGUUUAAAAGAUUUCAUCGAGUUGACAUUUAUCUUGAAGAUACUUUUUUUUCUUUUACCAAGUACAAAAUUAAAAUUUUAUUCUGCGUUCUCAAACGGUCAUGGUUACUUAAUGACAAAUUUGUAACUUUGCAAUAAGUGACAGGGUUAAAACAGAAAAGUAGGUAAGUUGGUAGUUUAAAGUUCUAAUUCUGAUCCAAAUACUAAGUAAUUUGCAAAGAGAGAAGAAGGAAAAUGGAUAUGUCCACGAUCGUAUGACCCUCUCUGUGUCUAUGAAAGAAAUAGGUCUAGUUUUUGGUAUCAACUAAAUGAUUUGCACAUUACCUACCCAGAGAGAGAAGGAUGCUAUUGUCAUAAAUGCCCGGGAAUAUAAAUACCACACUGCUGAAGUUCCUUCAUAGAAAGAAUAUAGCAACGUUUACCUCAAUUCCCAGAGCUUUGAGAAUGUCACACUUGCACAUGGGGCAAGUCCUGUGUUCUAAAAGCCAUGGGUCCACACAUGUCUUAUGGAAAAUAUGACUAAUGAAGGAGAAAAGAGAUAAUGUAGUUACAAGAUGUGAAACAGAAACAACACUUUGCGCCUCCCCGCCCCCCAUCACCACGGACACAUGCAAACACGCACACACACAGAGCUGACUUUUAGCCUUUGCAAGGAUAUCUUUUCUCCUUUUAAACAUACCAUUAAUAAAGAGGCCACAAGGAUAGAUUCUGGAGAUUUCAUAAUGCAGAGCUCUUAGAUACAGAGGCCCCAUUACUCUAGCCUCAAAAAGUUAUUUUUAGCAUUCAUAACUUGAAAAUGGCUAAUGCUACUUGACUUAUGUCUCUUGGCAUUUCACAUGUUACAAUAUUAAAAUUAUCAGUUCCAUAACUCUAAAAUGGAAUUAUCAUUCUCGGUAACAGAAUGAUAAAGUACUGAGUACGACACGGUACCGAUGCUCCAGGCAAUGAAAGGAGCUCUGAGAACAGCGCUAUUUAACAGCUGAGAAGACAAGCUAAGACUAACCUUCUGGAGAGGAAUUGUGUCUUAAAAUCUAAAGAGUAAAGACUUCAAAGUAGGCCACUAAGUUGAGCUUAUGUUUUCUCAAUAGAAAUGUUAAAAUGAGUUUAAAAUAAAUAAGCAAGUACUAAACACACAACACACAACACACACACACACACACACACUGAUGACUAGGUUUCUCAGUUUCCUGCAGGAAAAACAAACUGUUGAGAACAAAUUGUACUGGACUUUGGAAACUAUAAUUCAAUUUUAGUGCUAUAUCAAUUUGGAAGCAUUCAAAACAGUUUUUCUUCAUCAUGCCAAUUUUAAGGAUGUUAUUUUUAUGGAUAUGAAAGAAGAUGAAACUUACUUGCAGGUUAGGAUGCGCACCAAAUCAUUUGGUUUAUAGAGCUCAAUACACACAGCACAGCUAUCUCCAUCAGGGCCAAUUUCCUAUGAACAAAUAGUUACUGUUACUCAAACAAGAAAAAGCAAAUUAAACCUCAGAGCUGGACCAGCAUUUGCACAUGCAGUUAACACCUAGAAAUUUUUAUACAAAGAGAAACAUUACUGAGGAUGCAGCUAUGAAGUUGCAGUGGGUGAUUUCAAUUCAUUGACCUUUGGAAGAGGCAAAAUAACAAAGUCUACAAAAUGAAGAAAGAACAAAUUAAAUCAUGUAGUACUGACAUCAACUCUUUUUCCUGUCUUGAGAAUUUAUAGAAAGCCAUCUGUAUAUUUUCAUAGCUAUGUUUUCUCUAAAAAAGUAAGGUAUAAUUUACAUAUAGCAAACCUCAGUCAUUUUUACAGUCUUGCAUGUUCUUAAAAACAUGUAGUAAUCUAAUGCCCACAAUAAUCAAGAUAUAGAAUAGUGACAUGACCCCCAAUCCAUAUUCCCUUAGUAACUAAGCCUUCCUCUCUCUCAUUCCCAACCUCUGUCUACCACUGUUAUGUUUUCAAUCCCUAUACCUUAGGCUUUAAAAACUAAUGCCUAAUAAAUGGAAUUAUGUACCAUCUAA